rnacentral:rRNA from 1 species
UACAGAGGUCCCAAGCGUUGUUCGGAUUCAUUGGGCGUAAAGGGUGCGUAGGCGGCGCGGUAAGUCGGGUGUGAAAUCUCGGAGCUUAACUCCGAAACUGCAUUCGAUACUGCCGUGCUUGAGGACUGGAGAGGAGACUGGAAUUCAUGGUGUAGCAGUGAAAUGACGUAGAGAUCAUGAGGAAGACCAGUGGCGAAGGCGGGUCUCUGGACAGUUCCUGACACUGAGACACGAAGGCCAGGGGAGCAAACGGG